UACGCAGGCGGUUUGGUAAGUCAGAGGUGAAAGACCACAGCUUAACUGUGGCACUGCCUUUGAUACUGCCUUUCUUGAGUAGAGUAGGGGGAAGCGGAAUUCCGAGUGUAGAGGUGAAAUUCGUAGAUAUUCGGAGGAACACCGGUGGCGAAGGCGGCUUCCUGGACUCUAACUGACGCUCAUGUACGAAAGCGUGGGUAGCAAACAGGAUUAGAUACCCUGGUAGUCCACGCCCUAAACGAUGGGCACUAGGUGUGGGAGGUAUCGACCCCUUCCGUGCCGCAGCUAACGCAUUAAGUGCCCCGCCUGGGGAGUACGGCCGCAAGGUUGAA
rnacentral:rRNA from 1 species